rnacentral:lncRNA from 1 species
CAGAUACCCAACACAACAGACAGGCAAAGGUCUAGGCCUAGAUCCAAUCAGAUCAAACAUUAACCGGAGAUAGCCGACACCUGCACAGCUGAUGUUUUGGCGGUGUCAGAGGAGUAACUGCGUUGGAGCUGUCAAAUGCAGGUGACUCUACACUACAAUAAAUGGUGAUGAGUCGGAGACUCAGAAUCAACUUGUUCCAGAGUGGUUGUGAGCUGGUCAUCUCUGCUGUACUGUGUAGGCUGUAUAGUUCAAUUGUUUCUCCAAUAGGUUGCGCUAUUUUGCAUUAUUGUGCCUAGGAAUAAGUAUCACCAAUAAAUCACACUUCAAACUAUUAGUGUCUGUUAUAGUAGUUUGUACCUGUCUGUAGAAUGCCAUGCAUUUUCAAGGAACCACCAACAUAUGACCUUCAUCUGCAAUUAGGCUAAAAGGUAUUCACAGGUUGAUCAUGACAUGAAGCAAUAUAAACCUAUUUCAGCACAGGAUGGACAGAGGAACAUCAGUCUGUCCACAGGAUCAAUGUGGUUUUAGGGAAAAACUACGUUUGGAAAUGUGAUCAUUGUGUUGUCAGAAUCUCUAUUUUGAAUAUUGUCAUCUUAAUUCAAUCCUUGAUCCCAGAUAUGAUACAAUAAAUGAAAUCCUUUGUCCCAGAUUGGGUAUCAGGAUUACACACACACACACACACACACAAUCCAUUCAGAGCUGUUCAUCUCUGCUUCAAACGCUUAAAAUUUACCAACAGCCUGCACUUUUCUACAAUGAUUGUGCCUGAAAAAUGUCCUACUUGGUUACUCAAAUGCAUAUUGUCAGGUAACUUUGCAUAAUUGAAUCAUCUAUUGCACAGGGUUGUGUUCAAGGAAUGAAUUACAGUUAAAGUAGUUGCCAUUUGACAGUAUUAAUCAAAUAAAGAAUAUAGUAAAUGUAUAGAUAAAUAAAAACGUUUCUAGAAUGUAAAGAGAAUAUCAUUUAUUUGAACUCCUGUCCUACACAGGUCCAUUGUUGAGCAAAGUUGCAGCUGGCACACAAUCUGGGGAAAAAUACAAACCACUGUUAAACUUGUAAACAUCAAUCACAUUCAGUUGUUGUUUUUUUGUGAUCAACACUUUCACAUUUCUGGCUGAAGAUAUAUUGUCCAGGGUAAACAUCACUGUAGAAGUAAUCCGUUUCUUAAAUGAGUGGAAUGUUACCCAGUUGUUCCCCAGGUCUGUAGCAGAGUAUGGUAGCCCACAAACUCAACAUGAUUUGCUCAGGUCAUCUGUGAAAGGAUGGUUGAAUUCAGUCAAUCAUCACACGUUAAGUCAGAGGGACAUUUCCAGUAUGGCAAGUUGUGUGCAUCACCCUACCGGUCUUUCUCAACCACAG